rnacentral:tRNA from 1 species
UGAGAUAUGGUGUAAUGGUAGCACUAGAGAUUCUGGCUCUCUCGGUUCGGGUUCGAGUCCUGAUAUCUCAA